rnacentral:rRNA from 1 species
CAGCAGCCGCGGUAAUACGUAGGUGGCAAGCGUUGUCCGGAGUUAUUGGGCGUAAAGGGCUCGCAGGCGGUUUCUUAAGUCUGAUGUGAAAGCCCCCGGCUCAACCGGGGAGGGUCAUUGGAAACUGGGAAACUUGAGUGCAGAAGAGGAGAGUGGAAUUCCACGUGUAGCGGUGAAAUGCGUAGAGAUGUGGAGGAACACCAGUGGCGAAGGCGACUCUCUGGUCUGUAACUGACGCUGAGGAGCGAAAGCGUGGGGAGCGAACAGGAUUAGAUACCCCGGUAGUCCCUGUCUCUUAUAU